rnacentral:lncRNA from 1 species
GGACUAAACCAUGUACUUUGGCCAUUUCAAAACAUCUGCUCUGACUUCCACUGCACAAGUCCUCCUUCAUGGUUGACCUACUAAGACGACCAGAAUAAAGCAUUUAAGCAUGGGAAAUCAUCCCUGCACUCCAUCUCCAGCAACUAUAGACAGUAUUUACAGGGUUGCCCAGGACAGUGGGAUCCUCCCUGACAUCACCCUUGAUGGGACGGUGGCAAACCUCCUGUCCCUCAAUUCCAGCACUGCGCUCAACCUGCAGUAUGCAGCCGUCCAGCAAAGCUUGACCACAGACCAGCUGGCGGCUUUAGACACCAACCUCACCUCUAUUUUCGGACAGAGCACCAACGUAUCUUAUGGAGGUGUUGGAGUUAUGGCGCUCGCUUUAUCUUUCCUUUUAGACACUCUAGUGUCCAGUAUUGUCGGACAGAAGGAUGGAGCUACCACGGACCCGUUUAAGAAGCCAUUCGGAUUGGACAACUCUUCGGAAAUCGGCAGCAUUGCGAGUGAGUACCUCAGACUGGUGUCUAAGAGGGCCAAUGACAUCGAUGAAAUGGGAGAAAUAACUGAACUCUAUGACCAGAAGCUGAAAUAUGCUCUGAUCGAGCUCUAUGAGAGCGUGACUGUGGACCAUCAGCUGAACACAUAUAGCAUUAAGCAGUGGAUCAAUGGAGCAGCCAUCCACCUGCACAUGAGGAUUCAUGGGAUUCGUUUGGCAUCUGUACCUAAAGGCACGGCCGAAUCGCUGCGUUUGUCGUACCGAACAGGGUUGGCAAGGAUAAUGCAGCUCUACACGGCGUACUUGAGGCAGUACGUAAGAGAACGAUCCACCGUGCAAGGUCCUCCGUUAAAGGCGGGAUUCUUAAUCAUUGAACCCGGUAAGAAGGUCAGACACCGCGUGGUCCAUAACACCUGCCAAUCACAGGCUAUUGCCUCAGCGGUUGUGGCCCGAAUUUUAUCUGCGCAGAAUAUUGGAAGGAUAGAACGAUUUUUUGAUGAAGCUGGUCAAAUCUUAGACAGCUUGCUUCAACAGAGAGACACAUUUGAACUUCACAGACGACAGCGAAUGAAAUCCUAAUUUUGUGAUUUAUUGAGCUGUUUGUUCUAAUGCUACAUAUAUUUUGUUGUUUAAACACUAAACCACGUUUCGGAAUGGUUACAUAUCUGCCGUUUUUGUUGAGUUUAAAUAGCAUUGCCAUUUUAUGCUAACUAUGUGGCUGGAUGUAUUGGCAUUACUUAAUGAAUAAGCUUGCCGUUAAUAAAUAAAGAAGAUAAAACCAGUAUCAUGGUGGUGUUGAAUUAUAUAAUAAUUGUUACUUUUGUGUUGCUUUCGUUUAUUUGGUGCAUAAGAAAUGCAAGAAAUAUAGCCUAUUUAAUGUGCUAUUAACC